UGUGCUGGGCAAGAUCAAGGACUGCAUUUCUGGGUACACAGAUACAUUCCUCAAAGUGUAUGAUUGCAGAGUUGUUCCCUCCUUCUCACCAUCACUAAAACAGGAAUUGCAGCAAUUUCUCUUCCAGACCAUUUGGUUAACACAAUCUGAUUUUUGGUGGGGGUGGAGACAAAGCCACAAAGGCCGCUUGAGAGACAGGCUCCUCAAGACUUCUACAGUGGCCAGCAGAGCCGAUCCCUAAAGGCCCGAACGACUGACAUUGGCUGGCCCGAUUAGAGAAGCAGCUAAUGCCUCUGUGAUAACAUAUUUAACAACAAAAAAUAUCACAUGAUGCUCUCUUUCUUGCUGCUCUUGAAGCAGGGGACGGGUGCUGCCGAUCCCCUUCACAGUGGAGGCCGCGGGGCCCUGGCCUGGUGCGGCCCUGAGGCCGAGAGCAGCGGUGUGGCCACGGCCAGCCCGGAGCAGCGGGAGCGGCCAGGUUGCCAUGGCUCUCUCGGCACGGCUCACCAUGAACUUUGCUUGUUCAGCUGCUCUUGGCCAGCCACACUGAGGACAGAAGGCACUCCACGCAAAGGAGAGGUGUGUAGUGGAGCUGGCGGCCAGUACCUACACAAAUAAUUGACGUUCACACCGUCUUGGCAAGUCUGAGAUGCCCCCUGCACUGAGCCCAACACUCAGAGCUUCUGUGGCAUCCACCCUCCCUGCUAUCAGAAGCAGCACCCCUUUGUAUGGGCAGAGGAGAAUCCUGACCACAUCCACACUGAUCUCACUGGUUGCUGGUUAACAGUCAUGAAUACCUCAGCUGCACAGGGAAACCUCUACAAGUGAGAGGAAAAAUACUGAGCUUUCUAACGUCACCCAACAGCUCCUGAAUCAAAUGAAAUCUUUUCCACUGCUACAAAGGAGUUGAUGUGAAAUAGCUCAAAUAUCUUCUGUAAUUGCAAAGUUUAUUCUAACUAGAAAAUUCACUAUAAAGCCACUUGUGGCUUAUA